rfam:TPA: Bos taurus chromosome 3, whole genome shotgun sequence.
ACAUGUGAGGGUGAUCUGGCUGCAGCCUGUCGCCCCAUUGAUCGCCAGGGUUGAUUUGGCUCAUCUGGCUGGCUAGGCUGGUGUCCCCUUCCUCUCUCACUGCUCUGCGUGUAUCCCUCCUGAUGCUGCGUGCUUGGUCAAAGAGGACGACCUUCCCUGAGAGAGGAGAAUCAUUCUUCGAUCAAGGGUAUACAAGAAGCUGCAUUCCCUUGCUAGAACCUCCUAGGCCAUCUGGGGACAGUUACCCUAAUAUGAUAGGAUUCGGAGAACAAGUGGUCCCUGGAGGUCAUGUUCACUGGCCCUCAGG